UACGGAGGAUGCGAGCGUUAUCCGGAUUUAUUGGGUUUAAAGGGUGCGUAGGCGGAACAAUAAGUCAGUGGUGAAAGACUGCAGCUUAACUGUAGACUUGCCGUUGAUACUGUUGAUCGUGAGUAUGGUCAAGGCAGGCGGAAUGUGUAAUGUAGCGGUGAAAUGCUUAGAUAUUACACAGAACACCGAUUGCGAAGGCAGCUUGCUGGGCCAUUACUGACGCUGAUGCACGAAAGCGUGGGGAUCGAACAGG
rnacentral:rRNA from 1 species